rnacentral:rRNA from 1 species
UACGUAGGUGGCGAGCGUUGUCCGGAUUUAUUGGGCGUAAAGCGCGCGCAGGCGGUUGAUUAAGUCCGGUGUGAAAGCUCCUGGCUCAACUGGGAGAGGUCACUGGAUACUGGUCGACUGGAGGCAGGCAGAGGAAGGUGGAAUUCCCGGUGUAGUGGUGAAAUGCGUAGAUAUCGGGAGGAACACCAGUGGCGAAGGCGGCCUUCUGGGCCUGUCCUGACGCUGAGGCGCGAAAGCGUGGGGAGCGAACCGG